rnacentral:rRNA from 1 species
AUUGAACGCUGGCGGAAUGCUUUACACAUGCAAGUCGAACGGUAACAGGUUAAGCUGACGAGUGGCGAACGGGUGAGUAAUACAUCGGAACGUGCCCAGUCGUGGGGGAUAACGUAGAGAAAUUUACGCUAAUACCGCAUACGAUCUAAGGAUGAAAGCGGGGGACCGUAAGGCCUCGCGCGAUUGGAGCGGCCGAUGUCAGAUUAGGUGGUGGGUGGGGUAAAGGCCUACCAAGCCGACGAGCUGUAGCUGGUCUGAGAGGACGACCAGCCCCACUGGGACUGAGGCACGGCGCAGAGUGGGGGGGGAGGCAGCAGUGGGGAAUUUUGGACAAUGGGCGCAAGCCUGAUCCAGCCAUUCCGCGUGCAGGAUGAAGGCCCUCGGGUUGUAAACUGCUUUUGUACAGAACGAAAAGGUCUGGGUUAAUACCCUGGGCUCAUGACGGUACUGUAAGAAUAAGCACCGGCUAACUACGUGCCAGCAGCCGCCGUAA